rnacentral:rRNA from 1 species
UACGGAGGAUCCAAGCGUUAUCCGGAUUUAUUGGGUUUAAAGGGUGCGUAGGCGGCCUAUUAAGUCAGGGGUGAAAGACGGUAGCUUAACUAUCGCAGUGCCUUUGAUACUGAUGGGCUUGAAUAUACUAGAGGUAGGCGGAAUGUGACAAGUAGCGGUGAAAUGCAUAGAUAUGUCACAGAACACCAAUUGCGAAGGCAGCUUACUAUGGUGCAAUUGACGCUGAGGCACGAAAGCGUGGGGAUCAAACAGG